ACGAACGCUGGCGGCGUGCCUCAUACAUGCAAGUAGCACGCUGAAGAGAGGAGCUUGCUCUUCUUGGAUGAGUUGCGAACGGGUGAGUAACGCGUAGGUAACCUGCCUGGUAGCGGGGGAUAACUAUUGGAAACGAUAGCUGAUACCGCAUAAAAUUGAUUAUUGCAUGAUAAUUAAUUGAAAGAUGCAACUGCAUCACUACCAGAUGGACCUGCGUUGUAUUAGCUAGUUGGUGAGGUAACGGCUCACCAAGGCGACGAUACAUAGCCGACCUGAGAGGGUGAUCGGCCACACUGGGACUGAGACACGGCCCAGACUCCUACGGGAGGCAGCAGUAGGGAAUCUUCGGCAAUGGGGGGAACCCUGACCGAGCAACGCCGCGUGAGUGAAGAAGGUUUUCGGAUCGUAAAGCUCUGUUGUAAGAGAAGAACGGGUGUGAGAGUGGAAAGUUCACACUGUGACGGUAUCUUACCAGAAAGGGACGGCUAACUACGUG
rnacentral:rRNA from 1 species